AUCAAUUAUGAUUAAUUAGAUUUGAUUUGAUUGAUUGUGUAAUUAGGUAGAAUAUUUUCCUUCCUAUCUUAGCACUUAUAUUCACUAUUUAAGAUUCGGUAGCCUUAGGGAAUAAUCAAGCUGUGUUUUCACUAUUUCUUUCGUCGUAUCUUCCUUUUACUCACACUAAUUCUUAGUUGAGUUACUUGGCAUUGCUGUUAAUUAACACGAUAUCUUGUGCAAAUAACAUGCACCAUUAAGUCUUAUCUUGCACACUAUUGGUUAGCUCAUUCAUAACUAGGGUAAAAAAAUACGGGCUUAUCCCAAGUGAAAAUUGGCUCUUAUGGGAGGGUGUUUUUAGGUCUUCUCUUUCCAUUUAUUGCAUUAGUUGAUGUUGCUAAUUAUUUGUUUUUCACAUGUUAAUUGCGUCAUAAAUUUCCUCUUGUUUGUGAAAAUUAAUCUAAGUGUUUAUUGGCCCAUCCCACUUUUCCUAGGUAAUAGUAGAUUCAACCUACUUCUACACUUCACAUUUCUUUCUUAAGCGUACAAACUUCGCAUCGGACUAUUUUCCGCCUUGAACAUCUAGAUGAAAGCAAAUUACCAUCGGUCACUGACUCACUGCAUCAUAUGCUUGAACUGCUAACUGUCAGCUCUAGGUUUGUGCUAUGAGCAGUUUCUCAGUCGCAGAGAUUCUUAGGCGCUUUAUGUUUCCUGCUUAUAUUGAUAUUUAGUUACUGCUAUUCUUAAUGCGAUGAGCCAUUGCAGGUAAGCAUUUUCCCUGCUGUUAAAGCACCUGUGGAAUUUUCAACUCAGGUGACUUCUGGGGAUUAUAUUUUGUGGAACACACUAGGAAAAUGUCCUGUUGCUGCCACACCCAAAGCAUAGAGUUGCAAAAUAUAUUGUUGAUAUAUCUGUUAGGAGCAAUGACAGACGGUUAUCUUGUUGGAUGGCUGCUGAGUUUGAGAGGCAAGCGACAAAGAGGCUGUAUGCAAAAGAGAUGUAUAGUGGGACCAUUUGGUGACCAGUUCCUCUUGCAGUUAGAUUGCACAAGUGGGAAGUGGAUGACUCAUGUUUCUUGGCAUUUGGUAUUUGUGGGACAAGAUUAUUUAAGACGUGUACAACUACUUUUUGGAUACUCAGGUCACACAUAAUUAGUUAGCUGUAUAGGUUAUGAGAACUAACUGCAUACUUGCUUGUGUUGUCUUGGUGUUUCUAUUAGGUGAAAGAGACUCUUCCUAGAGAGACUGAGUCUCGUGCCUUCCGCUGUUACAGACAUGCUUUUGCGAGAAACUUGAUCAGCAGUUUUCCCCUUGCUUCAUUCGAAUUUUAUAAAACUGGAAAGAUGCUGAGAUUUCUAGCUCUAAGAAGUGUUUGGUUACUGGGUCUCGUACCUCCCGCUGUAACACACAUUUAUUCGGUGUUUGGUUAUCGGUAUUAGCUCAUAGUGGUUUAUAUUUUAUACCAUAUUCUUGGUAUUCUUUAUCCUA